AGGACUGUAGUUAAGUAUAACAUUUGGCUUGCAUCCAAAAAGUAUUGAAAUUCAAUCUGUCUUA
rnacentral:tRNA from 1 species